GUGUAACCGUUACAUUAAUUAACUUGCAACUUUCUUCAUGGAUUCACGUCCUCACGGAUUGUCAGAUUCUUCCUUUAUAUCACUAGGGGGUCCAUCAAUCUUAUCAUCGUUAUCUCUUCACCUCAUUUCUCUGUUUUUUUUUCUCUCUCAACCUCUAAGAUUACUUGAGAUGGAUUUUCGCCUUCAAUUAUUUGGUGAUCGCCGGAGGGGUCCGGUGUCUGAUCUUGAAUUCAAUUUAUCAUGCGUGUUUGUGUUUCUAUUUGGCUGGUUGCUUCGUUUGUUUCGAUCUUAAAUUAAAACGAUUUUUGAUUUUUGGGCUUUAGCAUUUGAAAGUCUCUUCCCUAUAUAUGUGAUUUUAUUUGUGAAUCAGUGGCUGUUUUUACCCACCCAACAUAUGUCUGGAUUGGACCUAACGCUUCCUUCCUUGUUGAACCAAACUCCAUUUCUUCGGAUGAUAUGAUGGGUCAAGUAUUUGCUUCAUUGGUUCCAACGGUGGCAGCUGUUUGUCCAAAGCGUGGAAAAUUUGUAUGGUUAUGAAUCUGGUGUUCAGCUGUUUGGGUUCUAUAUAUCUCCUCGUGUUGGUGUAGCGAAUUGAUCUGAAUCUCGUUUGCUGUCUCUCUCACAUGGAUCUUACAAGGGUUGGCCAUACUAUCUGAACCGAGGAGGUUUGUUGAAUAUUUCAUAUAAUGUUAAACCUGAAGGCUGUUCAGUUCGGCUUGUGGUCGAUAAAGUAAUGGCCACUCGCUGGUUGUGGGAGGAACCUCCAAUUGACCUGACCGCUCUCUCAUUGAAUCUGAUUCAGGGGAGUGGUGUGAUUCAACUGAACAUAAGUAAUUCUGAAAGGUGGAACUGGAUAUUGAUGUGAAGGCUGUCGUGUAUGAUACUAAAGAACCACCAUUCUACAAGUGUAACUUCAGCAACAGCGCGUGCACAUUCAAUACAAUGCCUUUUGUUGGAACUUCUAUUGUUUUAACUUCACCAGCACAUCGACAGGUAUGUAUUCUCUAUGAACCACACUAACAAUUUUUUUUUAUAUAUUAUUCUCAGUCUCAGCUGAAUGAAUCCUCAUCUCUCACUGUCUCUGAGUUCAAGGAGUAUUAUCUGGAGGACAAGAAUGGUUCAUCAGAAUCUCCUAUCAAGCUAGAUGCACUUCAUAUGCCAUCGUCACAGGUCUCGUGAUUUGCUUCAUUAUGCUAGCUAUAAAACUAAAUAACUGGUUACAGCAUCAUGGGGGAAGAGAGAUAUGUAAUGGAUGGAAAAAUGCAACAUUUGUAGAGGACUUUCCUAAAAUAACUCUGAGGGUGAUUCUGAAGGCGAUUUUAGGGUUAAGGAUUUCAAGGUGGUGACGGCUGCUCGGCUCGCUUAAUGGCGACGUUGAAGACGAAGGAUUCUCCUCCGAUGGUGACGGAUGGGAUUACAAGUCAGGGAACGAAGUCUGGGAACAAAUCGUACGUCAAGGCGGUUCAGCAAAAACAUGUUUUGGAGAGUAUCAUGAGGUGAAAGUAGAGGUCGUGGAGGGGACAGAGAUGGUAGAGAUACCAGAUGAUCUCCUUGUUAACACAGUUCCUUUGUCGGCGGAUUUUCUAGAGUGGAGAUUUCUAGAUCCUGCUUCUCAUGUGGCAAGGAUUCAUAUUAUUGUUAACAAGAUAUGGCCAUUGGGGAACAAAACAUUAAGAUUGAUGUUUUUGCGGUUAAUGAAAAAAUGUUGAAGUUUCAGAUCACUGAUCAACAAACAAGGAGUCGUAUUUUGAGGCGAGGCGUGUGGAAUAUAACGGGCAUUCCAAUGAUCCUGUCUAAGUGAGCGCCAUUGGAAGAGAAAAAGGAGGAAGAAGUUGAGAUUAAGACUACGUGGGUAACAAUGAAGAAUGUGCCACCUACUAUGUUUUCAUGGAAGGGACUAGGAUUCAUCGCUCAGUUGGGAAGCCUGUAUGACUGCAUCCUGACACAGAGCUCUGUACCAUUUUCGAGGAGGCUAAGGUCUUUGUCAAUGCAAACAUGACAAAACCACUUCCCCAUGCAUACAGAUUCCGCUCUAAGUCUGGAAUAAAUGCGAACAUUGAGUUUACCUACCCAUGGGUUCCUACAAAAUGUUCUCUUUGUGAAAAUUGGGGAUAUAACGAGGGAGAGUGCUCAAAAAAGAAAGAAGAUGUAAUGGAGAGAAGUGUGGAACAAAAAAAGGGAAGCAUUACCAAUUCACAAGAGAAUGUGAAACGGGUAUCUUCAAAUGAGUCGGAGAUAGUGAAUGGGAAGAUAAUGGAAGAAGCAGUUAAAGAAGGGGUUGACUCGGCUGAUACCGUGGAAGUAUCUGGAGCAGAGACUUCAGCUAUGUGAUAUUACGUGUAUACGCACACUAAUUAACCUAAUGUGCACACUACCACAAUCGAAUGGUAUGUCGAUGUAGCACUUUAGGACCGAAUCCACA